AUUCAGAUAGUUUAAUUAAAAUGUUGAUUUGUGGAAUCAAGGAUGUAGAAUUCUACUUUGGAUA
rnacentral:tRNA from 2 species